rnacentral:rRNA from 1 species
GAUGAACGCUGGCGGCGUGCCUAAUACAUGCAAGUCGAGCGAACAGGCAAGGAGCUUGCUCCUCUGACGUUAGCGGCGGACGGGUGAGUAACACGUGGAUAACCUACCUAUAAGACUGGGAUAACUUCGGGAAACCGGAGCUAAUACCGGAUAAUAUAUUGAACCGCAUGGUUCAAUAGUGAAAGACGGUUUUGCUGUCACUUAUAGAUGGAUCCGCGCCGCAUUAGCUAGUUGGUAAGGUAACGGCUUACCAAGGCAACGAUGCGUAGCCGACCUGAGAGGGUGAUCGGCCACACUGGAACUGAGACACGGUCCAGACUCCUACGGGAGGCAGCAGUAGGGAAUCUUCCGCAAUGGGCGAAAGCUUGACGGAGCAACGCCGCGUGAGUGAUGAAGGUCUUCGGAUCGUAAAACUCUGUUAUUAGGGAAGAACAAAUGUGUAAGUAACUAUGCACGUCUUGACGGUACCUAAUCAGAAAGCCACGGCUAACUACGCG